rnacentral:rRNA from 1 species
UACGGAGGGUGCGAGCGUUGUCCGGAAUCACUGGGCGUAAAGGGCGCGUAGGCGGCCCGGCAAGUCUGUGGUGAAAGCUCAGGGCUCAACUCUGAGUCGGCCACGGAUACUGCGGGGCUCGAGCACGGUAGAGGCAGGUGGAAUUCCGGGUGUAGCGGUGGAAUGCGUAGAGACCCGGAGGAACACCAGUGGCGAAGGCGGCUUCCUGGUCUGCGACUGACGCUGUGGCGCGAAAGCUAGGGGAGCAAACGGG